CUUAGAAAUAAGGUGCUAAUACCGCAUAAGCGCACGGAACCGCAUGGUUCUGUGUGAAAAACUACCGGUGGUACAGGAUGGUCCCGCGUCUGAUUAGCCAGUUGGCAGGGUAACGGCCGUACCAAAGCGACGAUCAGUAGCCGGCCUGAGAGGGUGAACGGCCCACAUUGGGACUGAGACACGGCCCAAACUCCUACGGGAGGCAGCAUG
rnacentral:rRNA from 1 species